rnacentral:rRNA from 1 species
GGAAUAUUGCACAAUGGGGGAAACCCUGAUGCAGCGACGCCGCGUGAGUGAAGAAGUAUUUCGGUAUGUAAAGCUCUAUCAGCAGGAAAGAAAAUGACGGUACCUGACUAAGAAGCCCCGGCUAACUACGUGCCAGCAGCCGCGGUAAUACGUAGGGGGCAAGCGUUAUCCGGAUUUACUGGGUGUAAAGGGUGCGUAGAUGGUUUAGCAAGUCUGAAGUGAAAGCUCGGGGCUCAACUCCGGAACUGCUUUGGAAACUGUUGAACUAGAGUGCAGGAGGGGUAAGCGGAAUUCCUAGUGUAGCGGUGAAAUGCUUAGAUAUUAGGAGGAACACCGGCGGCGAAGGCGGCUUACUGGACUGUAACUGACAUUGAGGCACGAAAGCGUGGGGAGCAAACA